AAGGGUGGCGUAGGCGGCCUGUUAAGUCAGAGGUGAAAGACGGUAGCUCAACUAUCGCAGUGCCUUUGAUACUGAUGGGCUUGAAUGGACUAGAGGUAGGCGGAAUGAGACAAGUAGCGGUGAAAUGCAUAGAUAUGUCUCAGAACACCGAUUGCGAAGGCAGCUUACUAUGGUUUUAUUGACGCUGAGGCACGAAAGCGUGGGGAUCAAACAGGAUUAGAUACCCGUGU
rnacentral:rRNA from 1 species